rnacentral:tRNA from 1 species
CGCAGGGCAGUCAAAUGCCGAAGGAAUUACAGCUUCCAACGCUCGUGGUCGCGGGUUCGAAUCCCGCCCCUGCCG